rnacentral:rRNA from 1 species
AACGUAGGAGACAAACGUUAUCCGGAGUUACUGGGCGUAAAGGGCGUGUAGGUGGUUUUGUAAGUCUGGCGUGAAAUUUUUCGGCUUAACCGGGAAAGGUCGUCGGAUACUGCGGGACUAGAGGACGGUAGAGGCGUGUGGAAUUCCGGGUGUAGUGGUGAAAUGCGUAGAGAUCCGGAGGAACACCAGUGGCGAAGGCGACACGCUGGGCCGUACCUGACACUGAUGCGCGACAGCAUGGGGAGCAAACAGG